rnacentral:lncRNA from 1 species
UAUAGAUGAUAGCUGAAAAUGCACAGAGCAGCUGCUAAUCUUUUUUGAGUUCUUCUGAAGACAAGUUCUCAAUGUAGCCCAGGUUGUUCUAGGAUUUGUGUAGCCAAGGAUGGCCUUGAACUUCUGAUCUUCCUGCUUCUACCUCUUAAGUGUUAGGAUGACAGGCAUGUGCCACUAAGCCCAGCUCAGCCACCAUUUGAUCUCAGCCUUUAUCCCUGCAACUGGAGAGUCUGGUAGGAGUUUUCUUUUUCCUUUUUCCUUUUUUCUUUUUUUGGGUUUUGUUUUUAAAAGGAGUAUCAGCACUGUAGCCCAGCCUGACCUCCAAUUUAGAGCUUUCCUCCUGCCUCUCUUCCUCUUUACCGGGAUAAAAGGUGUGCACCUAUCAACAUGGAGGUGCCUGCUUGCUUGUUUUAAGUUAAUGGGAAAUUGUGGCUCCUUCGUAAAUGAAAACUGUGCACUCUCUUAAGCUUUUUUUCCAUAUAUCUUUGGGGAAGUUGGUACUUAUUUUUAGAAAUGUGCAUCUGUUAGUUUUUCAAGUUGAAUUAACCAACCUAGAAGCUCUCAAUUGGAAGUCAAUGUGACUAAGAAUAAAGACGACUUUAGGAUUUUC